AGACAGGCUUUAAAGGUGGCGCGGGAGGCUGCGCGGGAGAGGCGCGCGCGCGCGCCCCCGGCCCAGGGCUGCCCUCUUCUCCCGGGUGCCCGCCCUCUCUCGCCCGGCCGGCCGAGUUUGAACCUAGCGGGGGCCCAGUUUGGAUAAAGGCUUCCCGUCGCCGGCUGCUGGCCUUCGGCUGGUCGCUGUGGGUCAGCCCGCGGUCCCGAGAGGCCUGUUAUUUUUUUUAAGGAAGUGUGUGGGGGGGGGUCGUGUUUUCUAGCGGUCUUCCCGGCGCUGCGGUUGACAAAAGCAGGUGGGUGAGACGGAGGAGGCCCCGCUCUCCCGGCUCUGAUUCUUCAUCCGUGGACCUAGUUAACUGUCUGCCUGUCCCCCCCGCAGGUGGCAGGUUGGUCCAACCCCUCCUGGGAAGGCCGCAGAACAGCCCUUUUCCAGGCAGGAGGCUCUUGUGUCUCUGCGUGGUUCCUGCUUCGGUUUCCAGUUCAGUAUCAGAGCUGGAAAGGGACCUUGGAGGUCAUCUAGUCCGACCCCCCCUGGUCACGCAGGAGGACCUGUGUUACUAGGGAUUCGAACCGCCGAACUGCCAAACCUUUCUGAUCGACAAGCUCUCGGGGUCUUAGCCGCUGAGCCACCUAGUCAGGUGUGAAUUCCCUGCUGAUUCUGCACGGGUUCUAUUGCUUGUAUGUUUCCGGAGAAACCUAAGGGUAGAUUUGUGUAUAGCUUCUUUUGUUUUGGUCAUAAGGGUUUUGUUUCUCUUAAGCUAUGAUUGGUGGCUUAGCAUGGGGUGAACCCAGAAAACUAGUCUCUCUCUUGCCCUAAACCAGGUGUCAGCAACCUGCGGCUCCGGAGCCGCAUGCAGCUCUUUAGGCCCUCUGCUGUGGCUCCCUGUUGGGUGAUCCCACCACUGGCUGGCACUGCCUCUCAUCCUCCCCUCCCAGUCACUCCUUGCCUGGCCUGAGAAGGAUGUGCCUAAGAUGUUCUCGCUACAAGGAAGCCAGAAGGAAGCUACAUGUCACUUGGCCCUCCCUUCCCCCCUCUUUGCAUGUCUGGAUCCAGUCCUAGCAGAUGGAAGAAAGGAGAGAGUUCCAGUUACAUUUUUGCUUGCCACAGAGUCCUUCUUUCUUUAAUGGGGAUACCUUGUUUCAAUCUGUAGAAACAGAUCCCAGAGAGGAUACACUGGGGAAGAAGCUCAUCAGAAUGUCUUUUUGUAGUAGAUCCAGGUGUUCCUUUUACACCUAAGUAGAGACAUGUGCAUCACUUGGAAGUGUGGGUCACCCAUACUUACUAAGCUUUUGGGUUUCAUCUGUUGGACUCCUGUUAGUCUUUUGACAAAUGCUACAUUAGAUGACGAUUUCUAGUGGUGUCAAGUGGUGGACGAUUUUUUCCUUUCAGGAUCAGCCAUCAACAUUAAAGGAACCAGCAGGUAAGAAAUACCACAAACUAGCAUUUGAUAGAGCAGUAAGUAGACCUUGAAAAAAUAUAUAUAUUCAGGUAUAAAGACGGGUCUCUACAUACAGUAGUGGCCAAAAUUGUGGAAACCUUUUGGGAAAAGUGUAUUUUCUAAAACUAGCUAAUAACAUCAUUUUUUUUUUAGUAGUAAAAUUAUAUAUCAAUGGAAAGAUAAUUUAAUCAAGAAUGGAAUGCAAUAACUUUUAGGAAGGAUUUGCUAUUAGAAUAGCAGUUACCAUAUAAAGAAGAAAAGCGAAACAAGUAGAAAAAAAUGAGAAAAUUAUCACCAUAAAAAAAAUGAGCUAUACAAAAAUUAUCACCAUAGAAAAAAAAUGAGAUAUACAAAAAUGAUCACCAUGUCAGUUAAUACUUAGUUGGGGUAACCUUUAGCAUGAAUGACGGCCUUACAACAUCUUCCCGUGGAGUGAACCAAGUCUUUUAGUUCUGCAGCUGUUCUAAUGUGAAACCAAGAUUGAAUGAUGGCUUCUAUUAACUGGGUUUUAUUGCUGGGUUGCUUCUGACUAACAAGUUUUUUUAGUCGGCUCCAUAGAUUUUCAUUUAGGUUAAGAUCUGGGCUAUUCCCAGGCCAUUCCAGCAGUGGAAUAGGAUUAUCUUGAAACUCCAAAAAAAAAAAAAAAAAGUGGUGUUAUUAGCCAUCAAACCUCAAAAAUACACUUUUCCCAAAAGUUUUCCACAAUUUUUGCCACUACUGUACCGUAUAACAAGCAGGACAGUGUAGAGAAUGGUGUUCCCUGAUGGCACUCUAUGGAAGCAAAACUUGGACAUUAAAGAAGGGACAGGAAGGAUAUUGUGGCUUUUGAACAUUGGUGUUGGAGAAUAUUGUGGGCAGCCAAUGGAUCACUGGACCAAUCAAUUCAGAGUUCCCACUAGAGGCACAAAUGGCUCAAAUUAUCCUAUUUUGGACACAUAAUGCAAAGAUCUAGCUCUUUGGAGAAUGCUUUGGUGCUGGAAAUGGAAGAAAGAAGAAAUGGACAACCAGCAAGUGGAUGGUAUCAAUUAUGGAAGUGAUGGAAGCACCAUUAGAAGAUCUAAAGGAUCAGGUUGCCAAGGGAUCCUUCUGUCUGCAGUUGCUAGGAUUCUACAUCAACGCAAUGGCACAUAAAUCAAAAUCUAUAUAGCAUUGGGGAAAUACAAUAUAUAGAUAGUCCUUGACCAGGGCCGGAUUUAGAUGAAAAGAGGCCCUAGGCUAUUCCACUUAUGAGGCCCUUUCACCUAUAGUGAAAAUGUAAUUUUAAUUUUGCUAACAAUUUGAAUGUAGGCCCCUCUUGAUCUUGAGGCCCUAGGCUGAAGCCUAGUUAGCCUAUAGGAAAAUCCGGCCCUGUCCUUGACUUAUUACCAUAAUUGAGCCCAGAAUUACAGUCAUAAGUCAUGUUGGUAGGUAAGUAGAUCACUGUAAAUGGAUUACUGCGCCUGAUUUUACAACUGUGUUUGUGGUGAUUGUGAAGCGAAUGCUAUAGUAUUAAGUGAACUCAUCGAACUCAAUGGGCAUUUUUUGCUAGAAACCAGAAGUAAAUGCAAAUUUUUUUCCCCCCGGCAAAAAUUGUUCUCAAUCAUGUGACCAGAUCUGUGAAUGGAUCUAAACGUGGGCCAGUGGCCAAAUGCCCCAAAUUCGUUCACAUGUGGGGGCUGGGUGUGGUAGCUAGCCAUCAGAACUUCAAAACAUGGUCUUAAAAAGUUCUGGGGAAAUCAGCCAUAACUUUAAAUCGGUCAUACGUUGAGGACUAUAACUUAACACAUUCUUCAAGUGAAUAGGAAAAUGUCGAAAAGCCCAGUGUGUUUCUAAUGUGCCCAAUGACUCAUUCAAAAUACGUUGCAUUUGGAAUGGAGAUUAGCGCCAUACAAUGGACCAGCUUGAUAAACUGAUAUGGGCACCUUACUGUCUUUCCAAGGCCACCUAAGGGAAUUAAGUAACCAUUUGCAGUAUCAUGUGACUGUCAACAUAUUUUGCUGGUUUCCAACGUUUACUUCCGGUUUCUGGGGAAAAAGGAGCCCUUUGGGUAAAAUGGAUUUGCUUAAACUUAUAACCACAAUGACUUAAUGACUGUAAUUCUGGGCGCAGCAAGCAGUCGUAAGUUGAGGACAUGUACAGAGACUGGUAAGGCCAUUAGAAAGCUGGAUUUUUAAAGGAUUUCCGUACUUGGACUUGCAAACAUUUGGGUGACUGCUAGAGGGCAGGAAGAGAAUUGGGGUUCAUGUGGCUCUACACUGCCCCCUCAAGGUCAUCCCAGCCCUUGCAGCCAGUCAUUUAGGGCAGCCCUUUGAAGAGGCUGAUUAUUUUCAAAUAAACUAACAAUGAUUUCUCCA